UGACUCAUAUAGUUGUAUGAUUAUUGAUGUUUGGCUAAACCAUUGGAUCAUAUUACAGUGAUGGCGUAUCUA
rnacentral:antisense_RNA from 1 species